UACGUAGGGGGCUAGCGUUGUCCGGAUUUAUUGGGCGUAAAGAGCGUGUAGGCGGCCAGGUAGGUCUGCUGUGAAAACUCGAGGCUCAACCUCGAGAUGUCGGCGGAAACCAUCUGGCUAGAGUCCGGAAGAGGAGAGUGGAAUUCCGUGGUGUAGCGGUGAAAUGCGCAGAUAUCAGGAAGAACACCUAUGGCGAAGGCAGCUCUCUGGGACGGUACUGACGCUGAGACGCGAAAGCGUGGGGAGCGAACAGG
rnacentral:rRNA from 1 species